UGCAUUCCCAUUAUAAAUUCUUGUACGUACAAAAUCAUUUCUUGAUAGAAAAUAGAAGAACUGUUAUUUGCUUACAUUAACAAAAUCAUAUGGCUAGACAUUAUUUCCACGAGGAAACGUACAAGUCAAUUGCAAAUGCUCUUCUGGGAGAAAUGGCUGCUUGAAUUUGUGAAGAAAAAAAAUGGCUCUAGACGGGCAUUCUGAACUAAUAUGUACGGAACAAAA
rnacentral:misc_RNA from 1 species